CGGGGUUGGGGGAGGGGGAGUGUUUGAAUGGAGGGUUUGUGCAGAGAGAUUUUGCAGUUCUCAAGGGAGAUGGAACUGAUACACGCACAGAAGACUUCCAGAUAGUGAUGAUAUUGAAGAUCUGGGAGACCUGGAGAAGGAAUUUUCUAUAAUGGUGAACCAUUAUAUUAGAACCCAGAUAUGCAAAGGUCUGUGAAGGAAAGCAACCUGGGGGGAAGAUCAAGUGAAACGACCUGGGGCGCAGGGUCCAUAGCAGUAGUCCAAUGGGCAUGUUCAACCCCUCCAUGGAGAAACAGCAGUGAGGACUGAACAACGAAGAGUGUGAUAGAUCUGGGUACUCACUGAUACUUUAGCAAGACUUCAUUCAGGUGAUUGAACCCCUCUCUUGCCCCAUCCUGCAUCCCCUUCCCUCUCCCCUUUCAGGCUC
rnacentral:lncRNA from 1 species